GAUGAACGCUGGCGGCGUGCCUAAUACAUGCAAGUCGAGCGAACGGACGAGAAGCUUGCUUUUCUGAUGUUAGCGGCGGACGGGUGAGUAACACGUGGAUAACCUACCUAUAAGACUGGGAUAACUUCGGGAAACCGGAGCUAAUACCGGAUAAUAUUUUGAACCGCAUGGUUCAAAAGUGAAAGACGGUCUUGCUGUCACUUAUAGAUGGAUCCGCGCUGCAUUAGCUAGUUGGUAAGGUAACGGCUUACCAAGGCAACGAUGCAUAGCCGACCUGAGAGGGUGAUCGGCCACACUGGAACUGAGACACGGUCCAGACGCCUACGGGAGGCAGCAGUAGGGAAUCUUCCGCAAUGGGCGAAAGCCUGACGGAGCAACGCCGCGUGAGUGAUGAAGGUCUUCGGAUCGUAAAACUCUGUUAUUAGGGAAGAACAUAUGUGUAAGUAACUGUGCACAUCCUGACGGUACCUAAUCAGAAAGCCACGGCUAACUACGUG
rnacentral:rRNA from 1 species